CUUCUCUCUCUCUCUCUCUCUCUCUCUCUCUCUCUCUCUGUGCUUCCUGGACUACAGGGGUAGUUCUCCGCAGGAGGCACUGUAGAUCUACUCUUGAUUCGAGUCUCCGGCCGUACGAUCCAGCGAUGAAGCAGCUCCACAAGCAAAGCAGCCUCAAUCAGAACCAACAGAUCCCCACGUACGCCGCCAAGCCAGCCAAGCCGCAGGCCCGCCCCUCCUCCGCCUCCUCGUCUCCCUCCUUUUUACGUGCCGCCGCCGGCUACCUCCUCCGGGAGCAGCGCCUCCUCUUCGUCCUCGCCGGCGCUGUCAUCGCCUCCACCUUCUUCCUUCUUCAACCCUACUAUCACUCCUCCACCUCCGGACUCCAGCCCUCUGAUCACCUCGCCCACCGCCAUCCGUCCUCCUCCUCCUCCUUCGGCGGCGGCGAUGCCGCCUUGGGUGGUAGUGGGAAAAGGAUGCCGGUGGGGCUGAAGAAGCCGUCGAAGCGAGUCGUGGUCACGGGGGGCGCCGGCUUCGUCGGGAGCCACCUGGUCGACAAGCUGCUGUCCAGGGGGGAUAGCGUGAUCGUGAUCGAUAAUUUCUUCACCGGGAGGAAGGAGAACGUGGUGCAUCAUUUCGGGAACCCGAGGUUCGAGCUGAUCCGCCAUGACGUUGUCGAGCCGAUCUUGCUGGAGGUGGACGAGAUCUACCAUCUCGCAUGCCCGGCUUCGCCGGUGCAUUACAAGUAUAACCCCAUCAAGACUAUCAAGACAAAUGUGAUGGGAACAUUGAACAUGUUGGGAUUGGCAAAGAGAAUUGGAGCGCGAUUCCUGUUGACAAGUACCAGCGAGGUGUAUGGUGAUCCACUUGAGCAUCCACAGAAGGAGACAUACUGGGGCCAUGUCAAUCCUAUAGGUGUUAGGAGUUGCUAUGAUGAAGGAAAGAGAACAGCAGAAACUUUGACCAUGGAUUACCAUCGUGGUGCUGAAGUUGAGGUCCGUAUUGCACGAAUAUUCAAUACAUACGGACCUCGUAUGUGCCUAGAUGAUGGCCGGGUUGUCAGUAACUUUGUUGCGCAGGCACUUCGUAAAGAACCUAUGACAGUUUAUGGUGAUGGGAAGCAAACUCGAAGCUUCCAAUUUGUUUCAGACUUGGUUGAUGGAUUAGUGGCUCUUAUGGAAGGUGAGCACAUUGGACCUUUCAACUUGGGUAAUCCAGGAGAGUUCACCAUGCUGGAGCUAGCUGAGGUUGUGAAAGAAGUUGUUGAUCCUUCUGCAACCAUAGAAUUCAGACCUAACACUGCAGAUGAUCCACAUAUGAGAAAACCUGACAUAUCGAAGCCAAAAGAACUGCUGAACUGGGAACCAAAGGUUACACUGCAUGAAGGGCUGCCCCUAAUGGUGGGGCCCAUUUUACGGCGACUAUGGGCCCCGACUGUGGCCCAACUGUCCCGUGAUCCUCGCUCCAUCGAACGGUUCGCGUCGCUGAUUGAUGAAUCCCGACGAAUCUGAUGUGACUUGAAGAGCGACGGACGGGGUGUGGUACCAUUGCAGGCGUAGCGACCCGUACUUAAUCACGGAAUCACGUCGGCGACUGAUGAAUCCGACGGUUCCGAUGUGAUUAAAGAAGAGGACCUGGAGAGAUCAAAGCGUGGAUGGACGUCGAUCCACCUUCCUUUCCAACGGCUUCAGAGGAUGAGGGUUAGGUGCUGGCUUGUGCCUAGUCCUUGCCUCAUCAGUGGUUGGAAUGGCCGACGGAGACCAC